AAAGAGAAUCUGACUCUUUAGUCAACUGAUGCUAAGGAUAUCUGAUGCUAGUUCUUUUGUUGAAACUCACUGUGGAAAUUAGAUUGCCAAUAUGCAGGUAUUUUUUUUUCCUCUGAAGGUACCCCUUUAGGCAGACUGGGAGAAUGUUCAGCUGACCUGUCCUGCUCAAUUGACCAUUUCCACUGUCAACUUGGCAUCAGCCCACCAGUAGUACAGGGACUGCCCUAAGCCUUCUGCUGAGUGACUGUGGAACGGACACCAUGAAUCCAGAGGGAGGAGUCACUUAAAGAACACAAGAGUGACCAAAAAAUCAGUGGGAGAGCUGUGCCUCAGAAACAGCUCCCAGUGGUUGGUUACUCAAUGUCUUGACUGGCCAGGCACCGGAUCCGAAUGAGGAUUUUACUCUAUUCCUUCAGCUGAUCCCAGUAGAAAAAGUGAACCUGCAGAAGAUUGCCAAUGGGCAAGAGGUGGAACUACCUGAUAUCUUCUGGGCAGAAACAAUCUCAGCCUUUCAACCAGACCCUUAGCAGAGCAAAACAAAUCAACAUGUUUAAAGGAGGAAGAUACUUUUUAGCUGCUCCUAUAAUAAAGUUGUAGAAAUAAGUAAUGAACGACUCCAGAAAUAGUUUGGUAACCCAUGACUCUAUUUAUUACCAUUGUUCUUGUCUGUCCGUCU